AGCGAACGCUGGCGGCAGGCCUAACACAUGCAAGUCGAACGAACAUACCGGGGUUAGUGUCGGACGGGGGAGGCACACGUGGGGACGUGCCCUUAGGUUCGGCAUAACUCAGGGAAACUUGUGCUAAUACCGAAUGUGCCCUUAGGGGGAAAGAUUUAUCGCCGUUAGAGCGGCCCGCGUCUGAUUAGCUAGUUGUUUGAGGUAAUGGCUCAUCAAGGCGACGAUCAGUAGCUGGUCUGAGAGGAUGAUCAGCCACAUUGGGACUGAGACACGGCCCAAACUCCUACGGGAGGCAGCAGUGGGGAAUCUUGCGCAAUGGGCGAAAGCCUGACGGAGCCAUGCCGCGUGAAUGAUGAAGGUAUGAGGAAUGUAAAAUUCUUUUACCGGUGACGAUAUUGACGGUACCCGGAGAAGAAGCCCCGGCUAACUUCGUG
rnacentral:rRNA from 1 species